rnacentral:lncRNA from 1 species
GACAUCCCGUGUUGCUGGGCAACUCAGUGUGUACGGGUGUGUCCCCUUAGCACUCUCUCUCCUGCUAGUCCAUGGGCACAGCCUGAACGGCAGGCGUGACCGUCCCCAUGUGAUCAGGUCUGUGACAGCCCCUGUUCUCUGGGCUCAAUGAUGACAGGCACAAAAGUACCCAAGCGGUGUAUGCCUGGGGUUCUCCCAAGUGCUCCCUUGGGAGGUUGUGGCUGAAACUGGAAGUUUCCAUCUGGUCGCGUGUGUGCAGACCCCUCUGGGUCUGGGCAGUGGACUGUCAAGGCGCCAGCAGGACGUGCUCGUGCCUGAGGGUCUGUAGUGGAGCUGGUAUCUCCAGGCCCGGCUGUCCCUCUUUGGGGGCUGGCCUUGGGCAUCGCAGAAUCUUGCAGGAGUGAUGACUCCUGCCAGACGCUUCUCAUCAUCCUCGCAGGAACCUUCUGAAUUCACUAUUUGGAACCAGCCCACAGUCACUGCGCCACGGGCAGCCAUCCUUCUAGGCAGAAAGCAAAUGUAACAAGGCAGAUGUGUGAGUGCCUAAAAUUGCUUAGAAAGAAAAUUUUCAGAGAAAGAAAAAAAGACUUUAAAAAUAUUUUCAACAAUGAAAACAACAUCUUGGAAGUAGAGAACCUUCUAGGGUGAUUCCUUUAGUGUUCUCUUCUCUUUUGGUCUUGAAGAGCUCUACUUUACUAUCGUCGAGCUGUGUGUCUCUGGGCGUGUCCCCCUCUGGGCUGUGCACAAACGGGCUCUAGGUGUGUCCCCGGCUCCAAGCAGCUCGGCCAGCAAAGCGUUUCUCCACUGCAGGGAAUUUCCAGGAGGCAGAUCCUGCCUCAGCUGCGGUGCCUUUCCCGAAUGGACGGUCCAGGACGGCAGGGACCUGGUCUGGCUCACGCUGCAUCCAGUGCCUAGAGAAACAGGCUUCAUUAACUGACCACCCGCUUUGUGCCAGGCGCUGUCUUAAAUGCUUUAAACGCAUCAUCUGAUCUGAUCCUCACCAUAGUCCUACAAGGAUUUUGACCCAAGUAGGAGAAUGAUGCUCGGAGAAGCUGAGAAUCUUGCCCAAGGACAUAUAAUUUGACCCUCGCAGUCUGCACGUACUCUUAACUGCCAUACCGUAGACUUGGCCGUGAGAAUGUGCCCUUUCCACCGGCCCUGCACAUCCUCUGCUGGGGAACCACCCCCCUUAUUCGGCCCUUGCUUGCUGAGCUCCCUGUGCCAGCCUUAGGAAUGCUGAACCCCUGCCGCCCCACCCCUACCACCCUGGCCUUUGGAGGGGGCGUGGAGGUGCACUCAUGCUUGGGGGAUCCAGAAUAUCCCACUGUGAAGAGGGUUGUUUUUCUCUUGAACGCCCUUUAUCUGAAAUCAGGGCCUCCCAAAAGAAUUCGACUGUCGUAAGUCCCCUCCCCAGGAGUUUUGCAACCAGAGAAGGUUGACUCCUGUCACCAGAGAGAAAUCUGCACUGCGAUAAGAAAACUAUGAGAUCACCCAUCUCUUCUCCUAAGGGCCCAUUUAUCUUUCCAAAAAUUGUUUGUUUUUCUGUAAGUUCUCCUCUCCCCCUCCCCUUCCCCUAUGAAGAUGGGCUGUAAGCUCCAAAUUCUAACUACCUCCUUGAGUCACACUUUUCCGUGAACCCCUAGGCACGUAUGUGAACUAAAAAUCCAUCUUUUCUCUUACUGAUCUCUAUUUUGCCAGUUUAAUUUGCAGGCUCCCAAGUAGUGAACCUAAGAGGGUGGAGAAAAGGUUUUCCUCCUAGACAACGCCAAGUUCGAUCAGGAGGGAGAAACGCUGGUGGUACCAUCCUUCAGAGGGGAGGGGACCUGCUGACCCCUGACCGGUUGUUGGUGGCCAGGAUGGAUUUGUGCUCAUUUUUCUUCUGCCCAUCACUGUGCAUCCUAGGACACUACAAUCUCUGCAACUGAGUUUCUUUCACACAAAGCGAACAUAUACUGGAAGCUGCUCCCUCAGCCUUCUCAACAUGCUUCCGGCUGAAGGAAAGGAGACACCAGCAAGGCCACUGCCCCAGGCAGUAGGUUGGCUGGCCUGAGAGGGGAAGUGGGCACUUAGUCUGGGGAAUUCGCCAUGGUCUGCAGUGCAGCCCUUAGCUUUGGGGCAGAGAAGAUCCCUUUUGGCAGGACUGACUCACAUUAAUCAAACUCACCAAGCGCUGACGUAAAAACUGGAAUGCUAUCUUCCUAUUUUGCAGAGGAGCCUGUGUGCGAGACAAGAUGCUCACACAGGCAGGUCUGGACAGUCCUCUCUCUCCUGGUGUGGGAGUCUGGCAGAAACAACUACAGUGAGAGGUUGCUGGGUGGGCUGGGAUCUGUUGGUGUAUCUCAGUGGCCCAAAGCGAUGAAGGGGUCAGAUGUCCAUGAGAAGAAGGCUCUGCUGGACAUGUAGGUUAGUAGGAGAAAGUACGUAUUCUUCAACUCAAAGCUUAUUUCAGAGCAUAACAUGUAAACACUGAUAAACUUGGAACUGCUCUGAGUCGGGGGAGAGGGAAGCCCACCCCCAGGGAGCUCCAGGGAGCAGCUGGAACACUUCUGGCCUCUUAGCAACUUUCUGAGGUGUCCCUGGCCAAUGGCAGCUGGCCUGCCUGACACUUCUGGGGAGGGAAGCUGGGCCGGAGAGCUGCUUGUUGCAGGAGCGUUCAGUAUGAGGAGGGUGGCAUUUCUGAUAAAGGGCCCGAGGUCAGCUGGGGAGGGUGUGGUUAAUCUCUGGAUAGCCAGAGAUCCUGGUACCCUAACACCUGGAUAGGGGACAUCACAGAUGAAGUCUGCUACCCAAAGGCCGAUUUACGUCUGACCACCCCCUGCCCAAAAUUCUACUGUGUAGUCAUUUUUUAGAUUUCGGUACUAUGGUCCUAUAAGGCCCCUUUGGAAAUGCAGAUCUACCUAAAGAGGAAUAACCCAGUAUUCCUGAAAUUUUUGAGGUGAGUAAGUGACUCCUAGAACCAUCCUGAAAUUUCUGGCUAUUUCUGGGUACGCCUGCUUCUAAGCAAAGGCAAGCUGACUGCUUGUAAAUGACCACAGAAAUAAAAGGAGAGGAAUAGGAGGAAGCUAUUUCUAUGUAGAUAAAGAGCAAUUUCCAAGACAAUAUUGUUAAAUAAGGAAGCCAGGUGCAGACCAGGUACCUAACAUCUUAGCGUUUAAGUAAGAAAAGGGAGGGUGUCUGCACACCUUCACCUUUGGCUGUAAAUGUGGUGAGCAGCCCUGGAAGGGGAGAGAAGCUGGUCAAGUUGGAGGCCAAGCGAGGGGUGGGAGAGAAACUUGUACCAUGUACUCUUUUCAACUUUUGAUCGUCCCAUGUGCUUGUGUAUUAAUUCAAAGAACAAUUUGUUUUUAAAAAUUCAUUUCAGGGGCCGGCCCCAUGGCGGAGUGGUUAAGUUCUUGCGCUCCGAUUCGGCACCCCAGGGUUUCGCCGGUUUGGAUCCUGGGCAUGGACCUGGCACCGCUCAUCAGGCCAUGCUGAGACGGCGUCCCACAUGCUACAACUAGAAGGACCCACAACUGAAAUAUACAGCCAUGUACCGGGGGGCUUUGGGGAGAAGAAGAAGAAGAAAAAAAAGAAGAUUGGCAACAGAUGUUAGCUCAGGUGCCACUCUUUAAUAAAUAAAUAAAUAAGUAAGUAAAAAUUCGUUUUGGGGCUGGCCCUAUGGCCUACUGGUCAAGUUCAGCAUGCUCUGCUUUGGUAGCCCAGGUUUGGUUCCCGGGCAUGGACCUAUACUACUCAUCAAUGACCAUGCUGUGGUGGCAACCCACAUACAAAAUAGAGGAAGACUGGCACAGAUGUUAGCUCAGGGCAAAUUUUCCUCAGCAAAAGAAAAAGAAAAAGAAAAAAAAUUUGUUUGGCCUGAUAUGUAACUGCAGAUGCUCCUGCCUCUAGCUCCAAGAUGCAGUUCUGUGCUCUGCCACUAACCUGCUCCCAGGUCCUCAUCACCGGCCAGGUAGCACCCUACAUCCUCAGCCCAGGGACCCAGGGACCCUGGCAAGGGAACAGGUGCCAAGCAGGGGCAGUACCUGGGGACCUCUGGCAAGAGUUUGUGGCACUGUCUAUAGCUCAUAAUGCCCUAAAGGAAUAGAAGAACCACAAGCACCUAAGCAAAGCCACCAGGGUGCUGUGUGGGCCAACCCCAGCAGAUGGCAGCGUGUGGCCAGCUGCCGGGGAAGGGUGCCAGCCACACAGGAGUGGGGACUGGACACCGCGAGAGAAGGCUGGCAGGGUGACCGUGAGGGCAGAAGGACCCUGGCCAAGGCUAGGUGGGCUUCCCCAUCUUCUCUGUGCCACAGGCCCCUUGGAGUCUGGCAACCUUCUCAGAGUGAGGUUUUUAAACGCAUAAAGUAAAAUACCCAGGAUUACAAAGGAAGCAAAUUAUAUUGAAAUACGAUUGCCAUGAGUGAUUAAUAAUUCUUUAUUAAUGUAUUAAAUCAGGAUUGGAUCCAGUGGUAGGCCUGAUAACUACCAUGAUUUUGAAGUCAUGACGAGCAUAGAUAAUAUUCAAAGUAUCUGCCACCACAGUGGUGUGAUAUGAAAAUAGCUGUGACUCCUGUUGGUGACGAAGUCCCAGGGGCCGCCUUUACUACUGUGGUACAAUGUCUGCAUGCACAAUGGAAGGAGAUGCUAGAUUUCAAUUCAAGAUUAGCAAAAAUAGACAUGCAGAUUUUUCCUUCCCAAGUUCACCGACUUCCAAAACCUUAACUGCUGUCUGAGAAUCUGAGAAGUGCAGCUUGGAAGGGGCACCAAGUGGAGAAGAAAAGAUGGGUUUCUAGACUGUCUCCCCAAACCAGUGUUUCCUUCUGCCAUUCACAGUGAGUGUCAGAGACCCGGACGGCCUAGCAGGGGCAGCGGAGGUGCAGGAGGCCUGGGCCUGGUCCAGCUGCUGUGGGACACUUUGCCCUGGCUGGAAGCGGGUCUGGAAUUGGCACAGACGGAUGCUCCUCCCAAUGCCUCUGGGCACUCCAGUGACACAAGAAAGUCAGGCCCUGGCUGGGAGGACCAGUCAGGGUUCCCCUCCCUUCUUGUUCCUCCAUCUCCCCUCCAAGGCCCCCCCAGUUCCUUUAACUGCAGGGGGGCCCAUGCCUGAGUAUCUGGAAGCCAAGAAAUGCCCCGGGGCCCCUCCUCCCUGCAGAAGGUGUUUCCCUUCAUGUGGAUAAUGGCCAUUGACGACGAGGAAGUGAGGGGAAGUCUUUCUCCUCUGCUUAUGCGUCCACCUGAACAGAUGCUUUGAGUCUGAACCUAAAAACAGGGGGCCCAGACAAUCCCAUGUUACGGCUGUGGGCAUGGCAUAUUCUCUUUCAGUUUGUCUAUUCGGUUUGCUUCUUCAUUUUGUGUUUCAAAACUUUUUUUUUUAUGAUUUUAUUUUUUUCCUUUUUCUCCUCGAAGCCCCCCAGUACAUAGUUGUAUAUUCUUCGUUGUGGGUCCUUCUAGUUGUGGUAUGUGGGACGCUGCCUCAGCGUGGUUCGAUGAGCAGUGCCAUGUCCUCGCCCAGGAUUUGAACCAACAAAUCACUGGGCCGCCUGCAGCGGAGCACGCGAACUUAACCACUUGGCCACAGGGCCAGCCCCAUCAAAACAUUUUAAACAUAUGUAAAAGUAAAUAAAAGGGACUCCCAUUGACCCUCUCUCCCAGAGUCUACAGUUACCAAUUUUUUGCCACACAGGCUUUAUUUGUCCCUUUCCAGUAUAACUAUUAGAAGUGCCCUCCUUCACUCCGGAAGUCCUAGUUUGGACAACUAAAUGCACUAUCUGAUCCUAGACUAGAUCAUGCACUGGAGGGAAAAAGUGCUAUUAAGGACAUCUUUGGAUCAAUUGAUAAAAAUGGGAAUAUAAACAGUAGAGCAGAUACAAGUAUUACAUCAAAGUUAUAUUUACCAAAGUUGAUUGAAAAAAAUAUGGUUAUGUAAGACAGUUUCCUUAUUCUUAGGAAAUAAAUAGGAGUAAGGGGCCAUGGUGCACGCAACCAACUUUCAAAUGUUUCAGAAAAAAAGCAUGUAUAUACACAUAUGUACAUGUAAACAUAUGUAUAUGUAUGUAUACAAGUGUGUAUACACAUAUGUGUGUGUAUAUAUAUUGAGAGAAAGAGAUUGAAAGUAAAUAAGAAAGAUGCUAAAAUUGGUGAAUCUGAGUAAAGAUAUAGGAGUGUUCUUAUACUAUUUGUAUUCUUUCCAUUUUUCUGUAAGUUUGGAAUUAUUUCCAGAAAAACAUACAAAAAACCCUAUGUUAGCAAACCAAUGAGAAGUGCUAGUCUGGACAAUAAAUUAUGUGGCCACCCUACCUAAGAUUCAUCUAAAAUCUAAAAUGGCCACUGUGGGUUUGACUGUGCUGGGGAGGGAAAUGCCCCUGCUACCCCUCUUGAGUUCUUAUGCCUGGACUAAUAAUUAAACUGACACAAGACCAGAGUAACAGGAGGGAAAAAGCAAUUUAAUACGUACGUACAGGAGAUCAUAAAAGUGAUCCUCUAAGAGUGAACAAAUCAGCUAGUUUAUAUAUCUUUUUAUACAAAUAAAUAAUAAAAAUCUGUAAUUGACAAGACAAAGAAACUUAGCUUUGGGCUAUGUUAAUUACAUAAUUGUGAGGAAUUUAAGCAGAGUUUAGGCUUGAGGUAGUAAAUUAGUAAAAGUAACAAGAGUUGUUUAUACAGGCUUCUCAGCCCUGAACUCCCCAGCUCUGUGAUAAGGAUGUCUCUAUUUCCUGGUGCAAGGAGGGUACUUUUCUCAUGGGAGAUUUAUUUCCUGCCUUCAGGAGGAACAGAGAGAGGAGAGUCAAAACUUUAAGUCAAAACAAAUAACUUAAAUUCAAAAUAGUCCAUAUGCCAUUGUGGGACACUUUGGAGCAGCCUGCCCUGGGUGCCAACAACUGGGAGGCAAGUCCCGAGAUUCCAGGCUGAAAGAGUUCUGUCUCACAAUUCUGUUUAUUCUCUGCCCCACCCUCAUUUGCAUCUGUAUGAAAGGCUACAGAGAAUAUUCAUAAAACCAGGCCCAUUUUGUUGAGCAAUGGCUGCAUGCAGAACCCUGGGGUAGGGGCAACAGUGCCAAGAUGACUGAAGUGGCUCGUGGGCAGGUGGGCAGUGUUAGGGGCCAUCCUGACGGCAGGGAGCUCUGCAGCCCCAGGUCUGGCCCCCCCUGGUGCUGGCCCCAGAGGCCCUUAAGUGCUUGAGUUCCACAAUCCUCCCCUGUUACGGAGGCUGGGAUGCCAGGACGUGGCUGUGUGCUGUGCAUUGGCCUGGAGCAAUCUCUUGCCUGGGGCAUCUCUGCACAUCAUUGACAGGAGCUGCUGUCCACUGGAAUGAACUAGAACAAGAGCUGACUGUCCGUGGCCCUCACCCAACACCUGGGCUUUUCAUAAGGGGUCUAGAGUCCAUGAGAAUCCCCCAGUCCAAGAAAAGAUCUCCUAGGUAGAAGCAUUCUGCCCCAUCGUGCCUUUUUUUUUUUUUUGGAGGAAGAUCAGCCCUGAGCUAACAUCCAUGCCCAUCCUCCUCUACUUUAUAUGUGGACAGCAUGGCGUGCCAAGCGGUGCCAUGUCCGCACCCAGGAUCUGAACCGGCGAACCCCGGGCCACCAAAGUGGAACGUGCGAACUUAACUGCUGCGCCACCGGGCUGGCCCCCCAUCAUGCCUUUUUGUUAUCCAACUCUGGGUUGGAAUUUAAUAUAUUUACUCUAAUCUCCUGGAUGUCUCCGCGUCAACUGGUGUGCCCCUUCCCCCUGCACCCUUCUCCUACCCUUGAAACUCAGAAGUAUAAUAACAAUAACAAUGGCUGACACUUUAUGCACAUUUCAUCAUUUAAUCCUCCCAAGAACUGGAGGAGGUAAGUACUAUUAUCCCCUUCCACACAGUUUAGAAAACAUUAACUAAGUUCACCCAGCUAGAGAGUGGUGGCACUGAGCUUCCAGCACAGGCAGCGCAGGAAGGGGUGGGGCAGGCAGAGCUGCUCCCGGGAGGCGUCCUCGCCCCAGGACCUGGGAGCCCAGAGAGUGAAAAGCCCACUCUGAAAUGGACACAAGGGUGGGCUACAGUCCCAGAUUUCUGAAUCUCCAUGAAUAUAACGGGAUGUCCUGAGCACAGACUUGGGAACCAGGCUGCUUGGGUUCAAACUCCAGUUUAGCUGAUCACCAGCUGGGUGACUUUGGGCAAGUGUCUGUACCUCGGUUUGCUCCUCUGUAAAAUGGGCAUAAUAAUGGUACCACAUGGGGUGGCUGUGUGUAUUCAUGAGUUACACACACAGAGAUUCUCUGACGGCAUUCGCUCUUUCUCACAAAAUGCUGCUUUCUGUGCAUCCCUCCCUUAAAGCCACUUGACCCUGAGGAUUCACCCACUUUUUAAAAAUUAGUCAAUGAGUUUACCCAAUAGAGGGUUGAUUACUCAAGUAGUUAUCUCUUAAGAAAGUACAAAAGGCUGUGAAAGAGAAGAGUUGGGUCAAGGUGGAAAAAUUUCUGAAAGCCUGUAUGUGUGUGUGACCUGUUUAAACACAAAGAAGUAGGUCUGCAAGGAUCCACGGCGCACUGCUCAAGGUGCUCGCCUGCCUGGGGGAUGGCAGGGGCAGGGAGGCGAGACAAGGGCUUCUGCAUUUUACUUGUAUAGGCAUCAGCAUUUAAAAAAAAAUUAACAACAAACACGUGCUACUGUCACGAAGCAAAGUGGGUUUGCUUCUUGGUGAGCUGAAAUCAGAGCCUUCACCAGAAGUAGUUGUCACACAAAGGAAAGUUUAUUUGCCGCAAAUAGGAGACCUCGGGGAAUCAUUUCCAAAGUCGGGGCUCUCUGUGAGCACAGGACAGGAGGGGCCGUUUAUUUCAGAUGGGGAAUGAAUAUUCAAAGGAGAGAGGUGGGUAUUCGCUUGCGCAGGCUCAGUUGGAAAACAUGCUUCCACAUACAUCACGUUAUGGCAACAAGGCCUAAGCCCCUCCAAGAGGGAAGAUCUUAGCGUUAAAAAUGAGGCAAAGGUCACCUCCUACCCAUUGGGUGUGCCUCUGCCAUCCAGUUGUGGAAUAAAAUCCAUGCAUCAAGAAUUUUAAAAUAGGAAUAAAUGUGGUUGAAGGUACAUGGGGAAUCAUACUCCUACUUUUCUGUAUGUUGAAAAUUGAUGUAAAUUUUUAAAAAUUUAAAGCAGUUUGCUCUCAAGGUAGAUGACCUUAAAAGUACACAUAUAGAAAAAGUCCCGUGGCUUAUCAUCACUCACGACAAACGUGAAAGUCUGCAGAACUACAAAAUCCUAAAUGCCUAAAAAAGGUAUAGCAAUUGCUGUCUUCAAUUCAUUCCCUCUCAUACACACAACUGGCUGUAAUUUCCAGUUUUAUAAAGUAGCCGUGUAGCCAUUUGGAAGAUUCUGGUGUUAAAAAAGAAAUAGGCCCAAAAUGGAGUCAUUUGCCCCCACAAUAGCCAACCAAGACUUGAUUACAGUUUCAACCUAUCCCAGGCAUGUGAUCUUUUCAACGGUCAAUCAGAAAUUUCCUGACUAGCCCUAGUGAGGUAAUCUGCAUGAUGAAAACCCCUUCUGAUCCCUUCCCCUAAAAGAAGCCGUCCUGGCCUGAAACAAUUCUUUCUUUUCUUUUGCUAAUCACUUCCUUACCCCACCCUCCUUCUGCCUAUAAAAACUUUCCAGUUGUACAACUCCUUGGAUUAUCUCUCUACUUGCUACACAGGAUGCUGCCUGAUUCAAAUUGUUUAAUAUAGCCAAUUAGAUCUUCAAAUUUACUCGGUUGAAUUUUGUUUUUUAACAUAUUUGGUGGCAGCCGUGGGAUCAAAGGAGACUUCUGUUGACUUCGAGGACAAAGAGAAACACAGGUGUGGUGCCCUGUGAACACUUCUGAGUUUGCUGUCUUUUUUCACCAUUUCCAGGGGCGUUUUGGAUCACACUGAACCCUCACAACGACCUGGGAGUAGCCCUUAUUAUCUUGGAUUCACAACUGAGGGGCCACCUCAGACACAGGAGACAGGUGCUCAGAAGGUGGUGGUGAUGAAUGAACGCCCUUCUCCCAGCAAAUGUGACUUCUCUGCAUCCAUUCAUGUGACUCACGUCUUCUUAGAUCUCUCUGGCUUAAAAACUGUCCUACUGCAGCUACAGAGUGGAAAGCGCCCACAUUUUGUGGCCAGAAGACCUGAAUUCCAGACCCGGCCUGUUGUCUAGAUCGCGUCUCUGAGCCAACAGGUCCUCAUGGUCACGUGGGGCUGAUUCCCCUCCCCCAGGCUGGCUCGGAGGAUUAAAGGCAUUUAUCUUGUGCAGGGGACACAGGGCACAGAGAUACCACCCAAAUGGCAGCCACAAGAGGACUCCGCUCAAAGUGCUCUUCCUUGGGGGCCUCCCUAGCACAUGUGUGCAAUUUCCCCUGUAUUGUUCUCUAAUCCUUGAUGGUUACUCUGUAAUUGCUCUCAAAUGGUUUCAUCAUAAUAAAUAGCAUCUGCAGAGCCGUUUACGAACUGUACCUUUUUCCUCAUCCCUUUCCCACCUUUACAAAAAGAAACUGAGGCUCAGAGAAGUGAAUUGAUUUCUCUAAGACCACACAGUGAGGAGGAGGCGAGCUCACCCCUCCUUGGCCCGUGGGGCCUGCAGGCCCCCAGCCCACUGUGUCCCCAGUUCCAGGCAGGGGAGGGAGGGACAGAGAGGGAGCUUGGCAGGAGUCCAGGGGCUACCUGGGGUCUGAUGGCUGAGGGAGGAGACGGGCAGUUCACUCGGCCCCAGGCAGGCUGGGUGCAUGGGCGUCCAUGCAGAAUCAUGCACUCACCUGUGUGUGCAGGUGUGCAGGCUGAGACCAGGUGACCCCCAAGGGGGCUUAUAGAGGGAUCACGCCUCUGGGGUGGGAUGUGGGACUAGGUUGGCUCUGGAAUCCCUUUCUGUUCUUAGGCUUAUGUGACUUGGAAACUUCUGGAAAAAGACUGGGCCAAAUGAAACGCUUCCACUGGAACUGAGGUUCCAUUAUUACCCAGAUAAGCUGCAUUAUUAGCUGUUUGUUUGAUUUGCUUAUUUUGUUGUUUUGGUCAGAAAACUGAGGCACCAGGGAGGUCUGUGGCCUUGUCCCAGAGGCACAGUGAGGUCUUCAGAACACAUUUUACUUUCCUUCCUGAAUGCCCCUGAAUCCAAAUUCGGCCUUGUUUAGCAGUGAUGGUGACUUCUGAAGAACAUCCUGGAAUACAUUGUCUCAUCCUGAAAAUCUUAAUUGAGGAAACCUCCAACACGUGGCCCAAGAGGAGAGUGAUUCCCACCCAAGUGAUAAAUACUUCGGGGGUCUCAAAACUGUGUCUUGGCCAAGGACGUUCCACGUCAGAGCCCUGUGGCUCUGCGAACAGCGCAGGACAGAGAGGGGACAAACAGCCGUACUGUUCUCUCCCUGGGAGCUGGGCCAUAUUCUCCUCUCUGUUUAGCAAGUGGGAAAACUGAGAUCUUGCCAGCAGCCAAGUGGAUGGGGAGGUGUCUGGCCGAUGCUUUUGAG